rnacentral:ncRNA from 1 species
ACCCUUGGUCGUAGAGUCGCGACCAACUCAAACUAAAGAACGCUCACUCGGA